AUCCCUGUUCCACGUUCUAAGCCAUGUUUGGACAUCGCGCCAAACGCAGUGUUGUUGAAUGCCCUCUCUAUAGAGAGGGCAUAUAUGGAUAUAUCCAGGAGUAUCGCCAGUCUCCAUUCUUUGUGAUGUAGUGCGUCCUCAAUACUGUUAACAAUCGAGUGAAGAGCAGAAUCUACUGAUUUACCUAUCAGGUGGUCGGAUACGAUAGCUAACUUUUCCCUGAAGGAGGGGUCCCUGCACUUGAUACGAGACUCAGAAGCUACUUUUCUAACAGACUUGAUCAUUUUGCUUGUUGGCGAUGCAGUGCUGAGGCGUAGUUUCCAAGGAGGCGUCGAGGGUGUUCUUGGCGCGUUUUGAUGGCAACCGAUCCGCUGUCCGAUCGAUUCGCAGACAGUUACGGCGCCAGCAUAGACCACACCCACCAGUUCUCCAAAAGUAAUAACAUCUGUGGAGUGCCGCGAGAGGAUAGAGUUGACCUUCCUUACCAAGUC